rnacentral:tRNA from 1 species
GGGGAUACAGCUCAAUUGGUAAAGUGCUUGCCUCAUGUGCAUAAGGUCCUGGGUUCAAUCCCCAGUGUCACAA